AGAGUUUGAUCAUGGCUCAGAACGAACGCUGGCGGCAUGCCUAACACAUGCAAGUCGAACGAGACCUUCGGGUCUAGUGGCGCACGGGUGCGUAACGCGUGGGAACCUGCCUUUAGGUUCGGAAUAACUCAGAGAAAUUUGAGCUAAUACCGGAUAAUGUCUUCGGACCAAAGAUUUAUCGCCUUUAGAUGGGCCCGCGUAAGAUUAGCUAGUUGGUGGGGUAAAGGCCUACCAAGGCGACGAUCUUUAGCUGGUCUGAGGGGAUGAUCAGCCACACUGGGACUGAGACACGGCCCAGACUCCUACGGGAGGCAGCAGUGGGGAAUAUUGGACAAUGGGCGAAAGCCUGAUCCAGCAAUGCCGCGUGAGUGAUGAAGGCCUUAGGGUUGUAAAGCUCUUUACCCGAGAUGAUAAUGACAGUAUCGGGAGAAUAAGCUCCGGCUAACUCCGUG
rnacentral:rRNA from 1 species